GGAGUUUAGGAUGCUGAGACGAGGCGAGCUGCUGGGAAGCAGGUGGAGACGGCGGAUGUUUACGCGAUGCGCUUCACUUAGGGAGGAUCAGAGGGAGAGAAUACAUCUGCCGUUGAUGAGAGACGCAGUAAGACAAUAUAUAAAUAAUAUAUACAUUUUAAAAAUCACGUUCGGGGGUCGUUCUGUGUCGAUUGGAGCUCCGCCGCAGAAAGAGGCUGACGGGCUGCGAGGCGAAGCGCUCCAUCUGUCUCCAUCGUGUCGCUGGAGGCUGCGGCGAGGUGAUGCUCCAUCUUUGGAUCGGCGGCCGGAGCCGUUUUUCCUGAAAGCCUGCUAUUAUGCAGGGAGCAAGGGAGCCUGCGAGGAUUAAAGGGGAAAGAAGCACUGGUUUAGAAAACAUUUGGCACUCUGGCAGUGUGAGCCCACUAUGGUCGACCCCUCAGAUGUUGAGGAGCAGAAUAAGUGCAAAGGGCCACAACUUGACGCACCAACUGUGGCCGCUGAAGACUCUCGACUACCAGAACCGUCCGAUGACACGACAACUGAGGAGGAAGGCGAUGCCGGUUUCGAGACGCCACCCACUGGCAGCUCGGAGCCCAGCCCCUGCCACACUGCGUCUCCGGUGGGGCCGCAGGUCAGCACGCAGGGGGCAGCACCUCAGCAACCACAGACUCAGACUGACGCAGAGUUGCCACCGAAACUUCACUUGGACCUGUACAACUUUGAUUCGCCCCAGGCGGAGGGCAGUCGUUAUGUGUUGACGAGCCCCCGCUCUCUGGAGGCAUGCGCUCGGUGCGGGGUCAAACCUGUGGAGCUGCUGCCUCGCCCGCUGGCCGACUUUGUCCGGGAGGCUCCGGGCCGGUCCAUGCGUGUCGCCACAGGUCUCUUCGAAGUCUAUGAGAAGGACAGACAUGGCAAACUCAGGCAGUGCAGGGAAGAAAGGGAGAGGAUCAUUAGGGAAGAGAAAAGACGGAUUCUGCAGGCAGCUGUCAACAGCAGCACGUCUUCAUCCUCUGUGGAUAAAGUCACAUCUGGGAUGGGUGUGCCUCCUAAAUCUGACACAGUUUCCUCCAGCUCAGUUCCCAAUGUGGGAGUUCCCUCUAAACCUGCAGCAUCGGGUGCAACUAUCCUAUCGAAAGCCUCCACCUCUACUCUUAGUACCUCCCCAAAAUCCAUGCAACCUAGAACUACCCCACCUGCAAAGUCUGGGCCCAAAACAUCCCUUCCACCUUCUAAGGGUCUAUUUCAAGGAUCAGUCAAAGCUUCAGUGUCCUCAUCAUCCGAACAUACGAAAACCACACAUCCAGUUUCAUCCGAUCCCCCACCGGUGCUCAAGAAAUCUGCCGGUGGUAAAUCUUCCAACACUUUUCCCAGAUCAACACCGAAACCCCCCUCCUUCCCCAGAGCCAACUCGACGUUAACAUCAUCAGUGUCGAAGCCUGCCGUUCAGAACUCCAACCCGCCUCUGAACGGAGUAACCAGAGGGCUGUUCUCUCAGCACAACGGACAUCUUGGAUUCCAGUCCAAGGCCCGAGGGAAAAGCCAUUCCCUGGAGUCUUUACAGAGGAGGAUGGAUCCCGUCUGCUGCUCAACCUCCACAACCACCACGACUACAUGCACCUCAUCAGAGUCCGGGGCGUCAUCUGCUUACAGCUGGGACGGUGCACGAGAUCACUGGGCCAAAAUGUCAAGUCCUCGAGCUCGCACAAUGGCCACCUUCAACUCCCUGAUGGGCCGCAGCCUCAGCCUCGGAGACCUCAGCCACUCCCCUCAGACAACACAGAAGGUGGAGCGCAUUGUGAAGGAGGUGAAGCGUCGAGGACUCAAGGCCGUGUCCGAGCGCGACCGCAAGAUCGCAGCUCUGAUGCUCGCCAGAUAUCAGGAGGAAGACAUCAUGAGCCAGACCCGCUACGUCGCUCACCUUCAGUGGGACAGCGAGCGCCGGAUGGAGGAGCUGCGGCGGGAGCAAGAGGACAGGGAGAAGCAGCGGGCGGUGCUCCAGUGCCAGCGAGUGUGGCAGACCCAGGUGUUGAUACGUCAGCAGAAGAUCUGCCGGCAGGAGCGCGACUCAGCCGCUGCCAAACUACGGCAGGCCGAGGAGCACGAGGAGCGCUGGAAGGAGCUGGCAGAGCAGCAGGAGCGCAGCCGUCUGCUGAGGCUGCAGCAGGCGGCAAGAGAAGAGAAGCACAAGAAAGCUCUACAGGAACAGAACCUGAAGGCCCUGGAAGAGGAGAGGGCUGCAGUGCUGGAGCAAGAGAGACUUCUCCUGGAGGAGAAGCUUACUAUAGCUGAGCUGAAGAGACAGGAGCGGGAGCACCAGGCCCAUGAGGAGAGGCGAGGUCUGAAUAAAGCAGAGAGGAGGCGUCACGCCGCCCUCAUACAAGAAAUCGCCCGUAGAGAACAGGAAGAGAGGGAUGAAGCCAAGAGGGCGGCAGAGGAGAAGCUCAACCGCUCCCUCGAGAACUACGAGCAGAUAGUCGAACGCCGGGGGCAGGAACUGAAGGAGAAGGCCAAGCGUGAGGAGAAACAGAUCCAGAAGGCUCGCAAGGCAGCGGAGAAACGCGAGAAGCAGCAGCAGCAGGUCCUGGAGGCCCGCGUGAAGGAGGCCGCCAAGCGAGCCCAGCAGGCCGCCAUGUUGGCCGAGGAGAAGGCCAAGGAGAAAGCCAAGCGGGCCGUCCAGAGUCGGCAGGAGAAGGAGAGACUCCAGAAGCUCAACAGGCAACGGGUGGAGGAGGAGGAGAAGCAGAGGCGCCUGGAGCUCCUGCAGUCCAUCGAGAGGAAGCUGGAGAAAAGCGAGCAGAUCUUCAGGGAGAAGAAGGCAGUGCUGGAGAGCGCCCGCUCCGUGGCCCGGGCGUCCUUUCAUGUGCGGGACAAAGUGCGGGAGGAGACCAACACGCGCACUUUUGACAAGAUGGCCCUGGAAGCGCAGCUCAAAGCGAGUCUCGAUGAAAACUGCGUCUUAUUUCAGCCACUGGACUGGAAGCUGUGCUGGACUGAAAGAGUCAUUGUUUAUCUGGAAGCACAACUUCACGACAGCUGCGGGGGCUUUCCAGGGAACACUCCUGUUAGUGGGAAAGCAAGCCCGAGGAAAAGGCUAAACACAAAUGGUUCCCGGCCCGCGCGAAUAAACGACAGUCCCUCCCCUCUUUUUUUUUGUACAAACGCAGACAGUUUGGAAGUCGAGCCCGAGAACAGAAGCUUGUUCUAGGGUGCGAUAUCUACCGCUGACGGUAGAUAUCGCACCACAAGCUUUCCUCCUUCAAAUUCCCUUCAGGAACUCUCUGUUUUAUUUCCCGUUGGUGUUAAAGUGCAGUCAGCACUAAAGCUCUCCGAGAGAAGACCUUCCCUCGACUCCCCGUGCCAUCCUCCUGCUUCCAACAGAGCGUCAUGGCGACCGUCUCCCAGUCGACAGCUGUGAAAAAGGAAAAAAAAUUAAAUGGAAAAACUGAAACGACACACGUGAGAUGAAGCUGUCGCCGUGGCAAUGCAAAUCUACCUGGAGUUGCAGAAAGCGGCUGGGUAAUGAGGAUGGUUCACCGGGAGUUCGUUCUGGAUGUUUCUUUUUUUCCCAGGCAUGAUUUUGGUGUUGAGCAGAGUCUUCUCGCCGUUACGGUGCCUCGCAAAAACAUUGAAUCAAUCAAACCUCAUUUACAUGAGGUUCAAAACAGCCCCUGGAUUUUCCUUUUCUCCUCUCUUUUUGUCGCAGUGCAGCCACAACUGGAAUCUGAUGUGACAAACCAAAACACAGGAAGUCAAAGCAGUGAAGUUGAACGAGGGUCUGAGGAGUUUGGGUUGCAGUGAGAAAGGCCCGCCUGGCUCCCACAUUCACAAUUUGCAGAACUUUGGGUCCCAGAGGUGAUUGAGAGCAGAUGACUGAACCAAGCCUGAGCUUUCUGCACAACAAACUCCUCUGUGAAAUGUACCUAUAGGAAAGCUGUUUACACUCAGUUUUUUUUUCAUCCGCAAUUCCCAUCGUCAUCGUCAACAGGCUGCUGAGAGAAUUCGUUUCUGCAUCAACGGAUCAAAUGUACGCGGUUCAAAAACAGCUUUAUUCAUACCAAGGCGUGCUGAUCAAUCUGUUCAUUUUUUUUGUCCUUCUAACCUUCUUAUCUUAAAUGUUGGCUUUUCCCCCAAGUUUUCUGGUUAUUUAAUGUUUUUUUUUUCUUUUCUCUCUCUUUAAACUACUGUUGUAUCAGAAAAGGUUUGAGAUGUAGCAAUAACGAAACGGUUCGGGGCGACAGCGGACGCUGUUCUCGUACACGCAAACAAAGCCGGACAAAUAAACAGAUCUUCAAGGUGGAAUUAAGUUAUCUGUCCUGUCCACUUCAUUUCUCUAUGAUAUCAUGUGAUUUUUGCAAUAAAAUCUUUCAAGUCC